rnacentral:lncRNA from 1 species
AUUAAUUAACAAAGUCUCAUAGUAUAAGUCUAAAUAACAAGUGUGGAAGAAAAUAACACAAGCCCGAUAUCGGGGUGUCACAAGUCACGAGCAACUACAAGAUCUGUCUAAGUACAAGAAAGACUAUCAUGGUCCGGAAAUAAAUUACUAAGAAUAGUCCGAGUAAGGUAAGAAGGUGAAGUUCAGGGCUGCGAACGCCAAACAGCUACCUUGUUGACUCCGGAGACCUGCUAGAAGAACGAUUAGCACUCACUAUCGCGACCCGCAACUCCUAGAUCUGCAUACAAGGUGCAGGGAGUAAUGUGAGUACGCCAACUCAGUAAGUAAUAGAAGUAAAUGAAAGUUGAGUAGUAAGAAAACGGAUAGUUCCACGUCAUAGCACUACAACAGAUACAGUACGUUUCUGAAAUAGUACAACACUCAAUUAUCUCGUAAAAAAAUUCAGUUUCAGUAGAACCUUUUCUUUUGAAAACAUCUUUCAAUAGUUUCAAACAAGUUAAUAAAACAGUGAAUUGUCACGACCCAAUUCCCGAACCUGAUCUUGAUGGCGUCUCUCAUGAAGACAAGGCCAGUCAUUCAACCCAAUUCAUCCUUUUAAGACAAUUAAUUAACACAAUUAUAGUAUAAACAUGGUUUAAUAAUAUCCAAUAGCGGAAAGUAUAGAUAAAAUACGGAAAUCCAACCCAACUCAGCCCUAAUCGGGGUGUCACAAGUCAUGAGCUACUACAGAGUUUACUAAAAUUCUACAAGGUAUGGAAUUAGGAACGACAUCUGAAGAUAUCAUAAAUACAUAAGAUAAGGGAGAAAACGGGUCUGCGAACGCCAUGCAGCUACCUCGAUAACUCCGAUGAAAACUGAACAGCAGAAAACUCGUUCUAUGCCUCAUGAAUACCUG